rnacentral:rRNA from 1 species
UUGAGCGGAGAUAUAUGGAGCUUGCUUUAUAUAACUUAGCAGCGAACGGGUGAGUAACACGUAGAUAAUCUAUCCUAUACUGGGGAUAGCCCGAUGAAAGUUGGAUUAAUACCGCAUAUAGCUAUAUAGUUGCAUGAUUAUGUAGUGAAAGAUUUAUUGGUAUAGGAGGAGUCUGCGGCACAUUAGCUAGUAGGUGAGGUAAAGGCUUACCUAGGCGACGAUGUGUAGCCGGUCUGAGAGGAUGAACGGCCACAAUGGAACUGAGACACGGUCCAUACUCCUACGGGAGGCAGCAGUGGGGAAUAUUGCACAAUGGGGGAAACCCUGAUGCAGCAACGCCGCGUGAGUGAAGAAGGUUUUCGGAUUGUAAAGCUCUGUUAGCAGGGAAGAGGAAGGACGGUACCUGCAGAGGAAGCCACGGCUAACUACGUGCCAGCAGCCGCGGUAAUACGUAGGUGGCAAGCGUUGUUCGGAAUAACUGGGCGUAAAGGAUGCGUAGGCGGUUAAACAAGUUAUAUGUUAAAUAUAUAGGCUUAACCUGUAGAAAGCAUAUAAAACUGUUUAACUAGAGUGCAGGAGAGGUAAGUGGAAUUCCUAGUGUAGCGGUGAAAUGCGUAGAGAUUAGGAAGAACACCAGUGGCGAAGGCGACUUACUGGACUGUAACUGACGCUGAGGCAUGAGAGCAUGGGGAGCAAACAGGAUUAGAUACCCUGGUAGUCCAUGCUGUAAACGAUGGGUACUAGGU